GGAUCAAUGGAUUGGUCAUGCCGAUGGUAUGUACUGGUCAUAUUGGUUCUCACCUUCUAAGGAACCAUAAUGUCAUUCAUUUGAUGUUUUGGGGAAUUAGGACUGUUACCUUGAAAAAAUUAGAGUGUUUAAAGCAGGCUAACGCUUGAAUACAUUAGCAUGGAAUAAUGAAAUAGGACGUCGCAUUCUAUUUUGUUGGUUUCUAGGAUCGAUGUA
rnacentral:rRNA from 1 species